GGGAAUGUGGCUUAGUGGUAGAGCACUUGCCUAGCAUGCAUGAAGCCCUGGUUCAAUUCCUCAGUACCA
rnacentral:tRNA from 1 species